UCUCUAUUGAAACACCUCGCUCAGGCUAGCGCACUAAGAGCUCGCAUUUCCCCCCUUGCUCGGAAUGGUGCGACAGGAGGUUGCAGCCCUGCUCCUCUUCCAAUGGAUGAGGAAACUGAGGCUUGUGACAGAACUGAUUUUCAAACCCAAGUCUUCUGAGCUCUUUUCUGUCAUAAGUUUACAAUCUCUCUUAACUUCAAUAAAAGUAAAAAGAAUGAAAAAAUGCUAGGCACACAGUGCUGCUGUCUGGUUGCCAUGGCGACCACAGCCUAUUAUCCUGCCUUGUCAUUCAUCAAGAAAGAAUUGCACUUGACAGAGGGAGAGGAAAAUGCCUGCAGUCUGCAACAUAGAAGGAAAAAAGGUUUUCUUUUCUUCUAUGUAUGUAAAAGAUCUUUAAUGCCCGUUUAGUUACAUGUUUUAUUUGGCAUUAUUUAUUACUUGUAAUGACAAUAAUUGAUACCUGUAAAAAUGUAUCCCCUCCCCUCAAAGUAUUUAACUUGCAAUUUGUUUAUUUGCUUUGCUUUCCCAUUUCAAACCUAUACCUAGUAUUGCACCCCCACCUCCCUACCACAGAUGUUGCUUCCAUUCCAGUAGCAGGAACAGCCAAAAGAUUAUAUUCUCCACAGAGAAUGAUCAUGAUAAAGUGAUCAGAGAGAAGCUGGACAAUAAUGACACUUCAUCUUGAGUUGGUAAAAGACCAGCAUUUAGCAUAAAUGAUUUGUUGCAAUUAAGCCAUUCCCCCUUGAGUGUAACUGGGCAACUAGGUUGAGCAAAAAUGGACUUCUGAAGUUCAAUUUCUAUUUUUGUCUGAGGACAUCUUACUUACUAGAGGUCAAACUUCACUAGCACACACAGAGAUACUGAAAUCAUAUUUCUACAUUGUAAGUGAAACAGAGCAUUGGAUAAUUAUCUGGUCAGUUUUGGUUUUGAGAUGGUUCAAAUUCUAACCUUCCCACCACUUCCUUAAUUAUAUGGAUAAUUUUGGAAAGAGGAGGUUUGGGGAUGGAGAGGAUAAUUCUAAAAGAAUUAAAUAAUUACAGCUGUCAGGAACUCAGUCUAUUAGAUAUUCCUACAUAAUAACUCAAAAUCUCUUGAUUUUCACUGGAUCUAAGAUAUGUCCCAUUAAUGCAGACUUCCCAGCAUCCUUUAUACACCCUGGCCAUGUAAAAAUGUAGGAACAAUGGAAUGUUUUUCUUUAAUCUUGACAUUUGGGGGAGCAAAAGGAAACAACAAAAAGGAAAAAAGACACAUUGAGUUCAGAAUUAUGGCUUUUCCUAUUGGUUCUAAACUUUUACUUUAACAUUGCAGCAACACCACUGUUCAUUUCCUGUUAAACUUCAAGCCUACCUUACCUUUUGAUUUUCGAAUGUCCCUUAGGCUAAUGUUUUCACUGAAGAAUGAAAAUGAACAGGCAGAAACAAUUAAGCGAGCAGAUACAGUGAAAGCGAACACCACACUGCACUUUCACAGAAAUGAAAGUGUAUGAAGGAAUUCUGCUUGGAAUUUGAUCCUACAGCAGCAAAGCUUUUGCCUCUUGUCAUUUUUCUUUUGCCCACCCCCAAUACACAUCACUUCCCCUAUGGUUGGGGGCUGGGGGGGGGUGGAAAUCUAGGCACACAAAGGAACUCAUAAAUACUCACAGGCAUGGGAAAUAUUUUCUCUGCCUGUUACUAAUACAGGAUAAUCUCCAAGAAAAAAAAUUCAUCUACGAUAGAUAUUCUAAACGGCAAAUGUCUCCCAAAGUCUGUUAAAUGUUCAUAUACGUCUUUAUGAAAUUUGUAAUAUGGACUGUUUAUACACUCCUGAUUAAGGGCUUGAGUAUUUUUAAAAGGAUCAAUUCAGUUUAAAGAUCUAAAAUUAUAAAAUCAGAUAAAACUGUAACCUACAAGAAAAAGUGUGUUUUCAAAUAACCUAUGGCUCUAUAUAAAAAGAUAACUCAACAGCCAAAAGUGAGCUGUUAAAGAGCCUUCUAAGUUCUAUCAGGAAUUAACAAGGAAGUAAUUAACUCUACCUCAAACAAAUCUGCCAUCACAUGUUUAUAACAUUUUUGUCACUCUAUGAAAUCUUUAUCUUCUUUUUUUUAGUACCAAACUGAGAUAUUUUAGGUGGCAGGAGCUUGGCAUUCCUACUUUCGGAUUUACUUUGUUAAAACAGAACUAAAUCAUACAUUGCAAUAUAGAAGAGACUGGUUACAAUUUAGCAAGGUAGGGUGCUGAGAAUGAGAUAUCAUUGUAUGCAUUUUAGAAGACUCUAUAUUAUUAUCUAGCAUAAGAGUUACAUGAUAGUUUCAAGGUUGAUUCCCAUUUAAAUUCAAAAUUAAUUUUUAAGAUAGUAUGCAAUGGGAAAUUGCUGUGUGAGAGGAUCAGAAUACCAAAAACACACACAAAGUUGAAAGCUUGUGGAUAUCCAUAUAAGUAAAACAAUACCUCAGUAAUGAAUCUGGAAGAUGGAGGGCAUUCAUAAGAUUAUGUUGAGUGGAAGGCAUGGUUUUGUUUUUUAUUACAUUUAUCCCUUAGUAUUUUCUCAAUAAAACACCUUUCACAAACCAGGGGCUUUGUAUCUUUGUUGUUGGUAUAGAGUUUUUUGUUGUUUUUCUUUAAUACCAGUAUAAUAGUUUUACUUUGCAGUAAUGAGGAUUCAAAGACAGCUGCUAGCAAACAUAAA